rnacentral:rRNA from 1 species
GAGACCCACGCCAACAGUUGCCAGCAUGUCCUCCGGGAUGGUGGGGACACUGUUGGGACCGCCUCUGCUAAAGAGGAGGAAGGAAUGGGCAACGGUAGGUCAGCAUGCCCCGAAUUAUCCGGGCUACACGCGGGCUACAAUGGGUGGGACAAUGGGUAUCGACACCGAAAGGUGAAGGCAAUCUCCUAAACCCAUCCUUAGUUCGGAUUGUGGGCUGCAACUCGCCCACAUGAAGCUGGAAUCUGUAGUAAUCGUGUCUCAACAUGGCACGGUGAAUAU